GGACUCCCUGAUAUUUAACUGUCCUAAAUGCCCCCUCCUCCUAACCCCGUCUCUCAUUGCUCUCUCAUACCCCCUCAGCUACACACCGAAAUCCUAGCGCAGCCACCAAUUCCCACCGCCUUAGGGUGGCGGCACCGCCUCCAAACGCCACAAAAAAUACACCCCAAGACCUCUUCACUUCCUCUUCCCAAAUAUCUAACCCAUGUCCUUUGAAUCCCAUUGAUUCGUCUCGAAUCUUAAAUCGAAAAGUAGACCAAAAACCUAACCCUUCCCAAAUCGCCAAAAAUUCAAAUCCCUGUAUCCCUAGCCUUCAUUCAUGGUGAUUUUAUGUCUAAAUCUAGAAGAAAAAUCCUUGAUGUUGUCCCCAAAUCUCGAAUCCACGCUAGUUUUGUACAUUUUUUUUCAAGCUCUGAUUUAGCCGAAAAUAGAGGUUAAUUGUUUGUUCUUAUCAAAGAACAAUCGAUUGUCCUUAUUUUCCAUUUAUUUCGAGACAAUUUUGGUCGUUGGCUUCUGUCAGUGAAGAUCAUUAUUAAUUCUAUGUUUAGUUACAUUUUUGUGCUUUAUUCAUGCUUCUUUUUGUUUCCUCUUCCCUGUUAGGUUCAUGACUAAAUUAGUCGUUUUAGAUAGUUUAGGAGUGAAAUUGUUUAGUUUAAUUGUAGUUAGUGUAGCGUAGUUUUUGUUUUGUUUAAGUAUUUGAGUAAUGUUUAAUUGGCUUAACAUUUUUGUGAAGUUUAUAAUCAUGUUGAUUCAAGGAAAAUUUGUUCCUUCUUCCUGACUUUUGAAAUUGUCCAAGUUUUCUGAAGUCUUUUGAGAGUUUUGUCUUUGAUCUUGUUUAAAGACCUUGUGUUGGUUUAGUCCUGUUUGAUACUCUUCUUGAAUUUGUAGAGAGGCUAAUUGUCAGUCUAAAAGCUUAGGGGGUCACAAAGGAAGGGGCAUGGUCUGUAAUAGGUGGUUGGGUAGAGGUCAAUUUAGGGAUUUUGUGAUGUGAGGGAAUAAAAUUCUUUUAGAAUAGAAGGUUCUACAGAGUAGGAUAAGAGCUGGAGUAUGAAAUACUUUUGAAAGAAUGUUAGAAGGGUAAAAACAACUAGGCCAAGGGACGGUGAAUGGGGAAUUAGCUAGUUGCGUUAGGGUUGCCCUAAGCAGGUCUAUAUAAACUCAUUUUCCAUUCUGAAGAUAGGAGGAGAAAAUUUUCAGAAAAGUCCUGGACGACUGAAAACUCUAGAAAAUAUUGUUUCAUUAAGUUCUUGUGGUGAUUUAUGAAGUUUUCUUAGUGUUGAAACAAUUUCUUGGUAGCUAACAGUUGAAAUGAAUUAAAUAGACUUUAGUUGAGGUUUUAAGGUUCAUUGCUUGGAUUGAAAUUGUUUUGGGUUGUUUUACUACAGUUUCUGGUUUCAAUUGGUUUUCCCUGGUGUUGAUUCUGAUGUCUUGUUACUGCUGCUGGACCUCUAAUUGUUUUGUUGUGUUCCCUUCACAUUUUCAGGUACACAUUCUUGAUCAUGAAGCGCCCAUGCUCUUUAUCAAAUGUUAUUUCCUUUUAAGUUGUAUUUUGUUGAUUUUUAUCUCAGCAUGUUUCCCUGUUAGUUUACCUUGAAGUCUCAAUACUGCAGUAGGGCUGUUGCGCAGUAAAUGUUGAUUUUGUCUAUUUAAUUCCUAAGUUCCGUUGUUGUUAGAAAUGACUAUCGGUCUGAAAGCCAUGACAUUUUGUUCAGAUUGUUGAAUAUUUUGUUAAGCAUAACUUUCUUUUAGUCAAGAUUGAGUAUUACGUUUGAAGGUUGAAAUCGCUUAGUUUAUUUAGUUCUGUUUGAGAAGGGAUAAAAGAGCUGAUUGAUUUGCACUGUUAGUGCUUUUAAGCACUUGGAUGGUUAUUAUACGGCUAAAUGUGUAGAAUAAUCAAGUAUGUUUAACCAUAUUUAGUGUGAUAUUUGAAUAAGAUUUAAAUUCAGCAACCUUUCCUAUUCAAAUGGCUUUCAGACAAUCGU
rnacentral:lncRNA from 1 species